UACGAAGGGGACUAGCGUUGUUCGGAAUCACUGGGCGUAAAGCGCACGUAGGCGGAUAUGUCAGUCAGGGGUGAAAUCCCGGGGCUCAACCUCGGAACUGCCUUUGAUACAGCAUGUCUUGAGUCCGAUAGAAGUGGGUGGAAUUCCUAGUGUAGAGGUGAAAUUCGUAGAUAUUAGGAAGAACACCGGUGGCGAAGGCGGCCCACUGGAUCGGUACUGACGCUGAGGUGCGAAAGCGUGGGGAGCAAACAGG
rnacentral:rRNA from 1 species